UACGGGGGGGGCAAGCGUUGUUCGGAAUUACUGGGCGUAAAGGGCUCGUAGGCGGCCAACUAAGUCAGACGUGAAAUCCCUCGGCUUAACCGAGGAACUGCGUCUGAUACUGGAUGGCUUGAGGGUAGGAGAGGGAUGCGGAAUUCCAGGUGUAGCGGUGAAAUGCGUAGAUAUCUGGAGGAACACCGGUGGCGAAGGCGGCAUCCUGGACUACUACUGACGCUGAGGAGCGAAAGCCAGGGGAGCAAACGGG
rnacentral:rRNA from 1 species